rnacentral:rRNA from 1 species
CUGAUAGAUAAGUCAGUGGUGAAAUCUGCGGCUUUAACCGUAAAACUGCCAUUGAUACUGUUNAUCUAGAGUACAUAUGAGGUAGGCGGAAUAUAGUAUGUAGCGGUGAAAUGCAUAGAUAUACUAUAGAACACCGAUUGCGAAGGCAGCUUACUAAAUUGUUACUGACGCUGAGGCACGAAAGCGUGGGGAGCGAACAGGAUUAGAUACCCUGGUAGUCCACGCAGUAAACGAUGAUUACUCGAUGUUGGCGAUACACUGUCAGCGUCUGCGCGAAAGCAUUAAGUAAUCCACCUGGGGAGUACGAUCGCAAGGUUGAAACUCAAAGGAAUUGACGGGGGCCCGCACAAGCGGAGGAGCAUGUGGUUUAAUUCGAUGAUACGCGAGGAACCUUACCUGGGCUUAAAUGUAGUGUGCAUUAGCGAUGAAAAUCCUAUUUCCUUCGGGACCCACUACAAGGUGCUGCAUGGUUGUCGUCAGCUCGUGCCGUGAGGUGUCGGGUUAAGUCCCAUAACGAGCGCAACCCCUAUUCUUAGUUGCCAUCAGGUAAUGCUGGGGACUCUAAGAAAACUGCCGGCGCAAGCCGUGAGGAAGGUGGGGAUGACGUCAAAUCAGCACGGCCCUUAUGUCCAGGGCUACACACGUGCUACAAUGGUCGGCACAAAGGGCAGCUACACAGCGAUGUGAUGCUAAUCUCCAAAGCCGAUCCUAGUUCGGAUCGAAGUCUGCAAUUCGACUUCGUGAAGUUGGAUUCGCUAGUAAUCGUAUAUCAGCAAUGAUACGGUGAAUAUGUUCCCGGACCUUGACACACCGCCCGUCAAGCCAUGGAAGCUGAGGGACCUGAAGUUUGUAUCCG